AUUUCCUCAUCACCCACCUCCUCGAACCGCGAUUGAACCCUAGCCGUCACUCCCCGCCAGCCAUCCUCCCUGCCCGUCGGCCGCCGCCACGCCAUCACCGCCACCUACCCGACGCGUUGUGGAGGAAGCGACCAGAGAGGGAGGGCGUCGCCGGCGUGUGCGCGUGCUUCCACGGGUUCUCGUCGCGGUCGCCGGAGCCGUGGUCAACCGCGUCGGGGAGGAUGGGCGCCACAUCGCGGUCGCCGAAUCCGUUGGCUGCGAGUCCGGGCGCGUCGGAUCCGGUGGCUAUUAGGAGGCAGCGCUCGGAGGAGGUCGGACGCAAGAGGCCAGCGCGCGGAAGAGGCCGGGGCAUGGAGGCAGCGCUCGGAGCUCAGCUGCGGCGACGAGCUGUGCUACUGCCUUGGCUACAACCUCGUAGGUUCAUCUCCAAUGGCAAAUCCAUAGCUUUGUGCUAAAGGUUCAGGCAGAUGGAAGCAUUAGCAAUUCCCUCGACGUAGCUCCCGAUUGGGCCUGAACCACAACCAGCUAAGGGGACAUUUCUACAGAUCGUUUCUAUCUGAUUUCCGACAUUUUCAGUUUUUGGAACACCCAGAAUGGAUAUAUUGAGUGUCCCUCUUGCUGCUAAACACAAUACAGUUGAGAUUAUGUCCCUACUGAGAUUCUUAAAGAACAUGGUACACCGGAAUAGCUUCAGAUCAAAGUGAGCUGCACAUUUCAACACAUAUAACUCAGCCGAUGGACCUUCUUAUCAUGAAACACCAUGGCAAUCGAGCUGUCGUCCGUCCAUCCCUCCCUCCUCGCGCCCGGAACCCUAGCUCGCGGCCAUGGCGACCGUGCAUGUCGCAGGCAGUGCAGGAUCUUCAGCAC